rnacentral:rRNA from 1 species
AGAGCCUACGGGAGGCAGCAGUGGGGAAUAUUGCACAAUGGGGGAAACCCUGAUGCAGCGACGCCGCGUGAGCGAAGAAGUAUUUCGGUAUGUAAAGCUCUAUCAGCAGGGAAGAAAAUGACGGUACCUGACUAAGAAGCCCCGGCUAAAUACGUGCCAGCAGCCGCGUUAAUACGUAUGGGGCAAGCGUUAUCCGGCUUUAUUGGGUUUAAAGGGGGCGUAGGCGGUCCGUUAAGUCAGCGGUAAAAUUGCGUGGCUCAACCCCGUCGAGCCGUUGAAACUGGCAGACUCGA